GGUAAACCCGGGGAACUGAAACAUCUAAGUACCCGGAGGAAGAGAAAGAAAAAUCGAUUUCCUAAGUAGCGGCGAGCGAACGGGAAAGAGCCCAAACCAGAAACUUGUUUCUGGGGUUGCGGAUAGAUCAUAAAAGAAGAGGUAUCUUAAUCGAAGAGGGCUGGAACGCCCUACCAUAGAAGGUAAUAGUCCUGUAGGUAAAAAGAGAAAACUUUAAGAUCUAAUCCAGAGUACCACGAGACACGUGAAACCUUGUGGG
rnacentral:rRNA from 1 species